GAGUUUGAUCCUGGCUCAGGACGAACGCUGGCGGCGGGCUUAACACAUGCAAGUCGAACGAGAAUCCCGAGCUUGCUUGGGAGGAAAGUGGCGCACGGGUGAGUAACGCGUAGGCAAUCUGCCCCCAACUGAGGGAUAACCCAUCGAAAGGUGGGCUAAUACCGCAUAACAACGGAUGACCGCAUGGUUGACCGUUCAAAGUUCAGGCGGUUGGGGAUGAGCCUGCGUCGGAUUAGCUAGUUGGAGGGGUAACGGCCCACCAAGGCGACUAUCCGUAGCGGUGGCCUGAGAGGUUGAUCCUCCCACAUUGGCCCUGUUUCUCGUC
rnacentral:rRNA from 1 species